UACGUAGGGUGCAAGCGUUGUCCGGAAUCAUUGGGCGUAAAGCGCGUGUAGGCGGCUCGGUAAGUCCGCUCUGAAAGCCCGGGGCUCAACCCCGGGAGGCGGGUGGAUACUGCUGAGCUCGAGUCCGGAAGAGGAGUGUGGAAUUCCUGGUGUAGCGGUGGAAAUGCGCAGAUAUCAGGAGGAACACCAAUGGCGAAGGCAGCUUCCUGGUCCAAUUCUGACGCUGAGGUGCGAAAGCGUGGGUAGCGAACGGG
rnacentral:rRNA from 1 species